rnacentral:tRNA from 1 species
UUGGUCAAGCGGUUAAGACACCGCCCUUUCACGGCGGUAACACGGGUUCGAAUCCCGUGCUCU